GAAAUGCGAUAAGUAAUGUGAAUUGCAGAAUUCAGUGAAUCAUCGAAUCUUUGAACGCACAUUGCGCCCGCCAGCACUCUGGCGGGCAUGCCUGUUCGAGCGUCAUUUCAACCCUCAGAACCCCUUGCGGGAUCUGGCGUUGGGGAUUGGCAUCCAGCCAGCCCCGAAAUCUAGUGGCGGUCCCUCCGCGACCUCCCCUGUGCAGUAGCGAUACCUCGCAGCGGGACAGCGGUCUGACCACUCCGUAAAACCCCCAACUUCUCAAGGUUGACCUCGAAUCAGGUAGGAAUACCCGCAGAACACAAGC
rnacentral:misc_RNA from 1 species